AUGAGCUUCACCACUCACUCUACCUUCUCCACCAACUACCUAUCACUAGGCUCCAUCCAGUUACCCAGCUACGGCACCCAGCUGGUCAGCAGCACAGCCAGCGUCUAUGCAGGUGCCAGGGGCUCUGGUUCCUGCACCUCCAUGUCUUGUUCUACUACCUUCCGGGGCAGCAUGGGGGCCAGGGGCCUGGCCUCAGGGAUGGCCAGGUGUCUGGCAGGAAUGGGAGGCAUCCAGAAUGAGAAGGAGAUCAUGCAAAGCCUGAACAACCACUUGGCCUCCUACAUGGACAGAGUAAGGAGCCUGGAGACCAAGAACCAGAAGCUGGAGAGCAAAAUCCAGGAGCACCUGGAGAAGAAGGGACCCCAGAUCAGAGGCUGGAGCCGUUACUUCAAGACCAUCGAGGACCUGAGGACUCAGAUCUUCUCAAAUACUGUGGACAAUGCCCACAUCGUUGUGCAGAUUGACAAUGCCCAUCUUGCUGCUGAUGACUUCAGAGUUAAGUACGAGACAGAGCUGGCCAUGCGCUAGUCUGUGGAGAGCGACAUUCAUGGGCUUCACAAGGUCAUUAAUGACAUCAGUGUCACUUGGCUGCAGCUGGAGACAGAGAUGGAGGCUCUCAAGGAGGAACUGCUCUUCAUGAAGAAGAACCAUGAAGAGGAAAUAAAAGGCCUACAAGCCCAGAUUGCUAGCUCUGGGUUGACCCUGGAGGUAGAUGCCCCCAAAUCUCAGGACUUCAACAGGAUGAUGGUCGACAUCUGGGCCCAAUAUGAUGAGCUGGCUCAGAAGAACCGAGAGGAGCUGGACAAGUACUGGUCUCAGCAGAUUGAGGAGAGCACCACAGUGGUCACCAUGCAGUCCACCGAGGUUGGAGCUGCUGAGAUGACGCUCACAGAGCUGAGACGUACAGUCCAGUCCUUGGAGAUCAACCUGGACUCCAUGAGAAAUAUGAAGACCAGCCUGGAGAACAGCCUGAGGGAGGUGGAGACCCACUAUGCCCUGCAGAUGGAGCAGCUCAAUAGGAUCCUGCUGCACCUGGAAUCAGAGCUGGCACAGACCCGGGCAGAGGGGCAGCACCAGGCCCAGGAGUACAAGGCCCUACUAAACAUCAAGGUCAAACUGGAGGCUGAGAUUGCCACCUACUGCUGCCUGCUGGAAGAUGGCAAGGACUUCAAUCUUGCUGAUGCCCUGAACAGCAGCAACUCCAUGUAAACCAUCCAAAAGACCACCACCCACCAGAGAGUGAACAGCAAAGUGGUGUCUGAGACCAACGACACCAAAGUUCUGAGACAUUAA